UUACAACAUGUAUUUAUAUUACUUAUAAGCGUUUUAACUCGAAAAGUUAGUAAGGCAAUAUAAUACGUACUCAUUCGAGGUAUAUCCAGUUAGUAUUUAUUCCAUUGUGUUCCACAAUAACUAGUAAGUUCAUACAAUACUAAAUUUCGAAUGGUUCUAGUCGUUAAUAUACUUAUAUUAGUUAAAUAUCUUUUAUGGGUAUACAUUUUCCUAUUAAAAUAUUAUGUUAAAUUAUGUUACGUUCGUAAUG